CCUUCACAUUCCUGGAGAGCCUUGGUUAAUUUGGUGCAUUCGGUGUUUUUCGUCCUGACGAUUCUGAAAGCCUUGUUCACCUCUUCAUCUAGUUUAGCCAACUCUUUAUCUUUCGCCUCCAAUACUUUACUAAUCUGUUCUUGGUUUCCUUGGCAACCAGCCGUAGUCUUGUCUGUAUUUUGUGUUGUCAAUUCGGCAAUACGACAGUUGUAUUGCUGAUCAAGUUGCAUGAUUUUGACUUUGUACUUUUCUAGUUCGCCUG